AAUAGCCGUUCAAAACCCUAGCCGCAGGCGUUUUUGGCGAUUCUCGCUCACGUUGCUUUCUCCUACGCUGGCGUUUGUUUGCUCCACCGUCACUGGUCUCACCUCUUCUGGAAUGAAAGAUUCUUGGAUGUACACAAGUUGGUACAUGUUUUAGCUGAAAAACAAAAUUAUGUAUUAUGCAACUGGUGAAUGUGAAAGUUCUUUUCCGGAGGAGAUUCAUUUUAUAGCUGAUGAUGAUGAUCCCAUCAUUAUAAACGGAGGAUCCUGUACUCGAUCACGAAAAAUAACGAUAAUAAUUUGCCUUGAAAGUAGACUAGAUUACCUUCAUAAUGAUUUAGACUACAGAAAAUGGAGCAACAGUAACAUGAAGAGCUCUAACAUUUGUCUCCAUAUGUAAGCGGUUCCCCCAAGGAAAGUUAGGGGGAAAGCAAAAAACCAAAAGCCUCGCAGGAUGGUCAAAGCGGGGGGGCCGUUUCUCUUACCCGUCGGUGUACCAAGCGACCUAUUUUCAUGCGAGACGGGUAUGUAUAUAUGGCGGACCACCCCGUUCGAUAAAAUGGGUUGGGAGAAAGUUCCAACACCUUAUAGGGAUGCCAUCAUGAACCACCUAAAGCCUAGAAGGUUUUCCUUCAAGUGUUCCCAACUGAUCAAUCUUUUGAACAAAGUCCAUUCCUGAUAUCCCUCCCAAAAACAACUUUCCUCCUGCCAUAUAACCGAUUAAACAGUUGAGGUUGAAACGGAAGAGAUGAGGGCUAAAUUGAUGGACAAAGAGCCUAUGGUAUUUGAGGCACAUGCAAAGAAGAUUGAAUCCUUACUAGAAAAGUCCAGAAAAGAUUUACGGGAUAGUGAACCUAUGAAAGCCAAAAGAAGAGAAUUUGCACGUAUGUUGUGUAAAUAUCACACAGUAGAAUCAUGGGUGGGAAGCAAGAGAGUUGGUGAUGUUCUUUGGAACCAAACAAAAAAACACAAAGAUAAUAAAGAAUUGACAACGAAGAAGAAAAACACAAUGGAAAGCAAAAAUGUUCCAACAAUGAAAAAGGAAAACACAAUCAAAAGCAUAAAAGUUCUAAGUCUACGAGAUGAAAUUAAUGAAAAACUGAAAGAAACGGUUGUUGUAGAUGAAGUCAUGGCUGUGGAAACGUCUACAACUCAUCAAGAAAACGUCGAAAAGCAAACUGCUGAUGUUGAAGUAGAACAAAACAAAAAAAAAACAAGUGAAAAUGUUGAUGUUGCUCAUCAAGAGAAAGCCCUUACUAAAGCAUAGGGACACAUACGAAAGAGAAGAGGAGGUGAUCCUUGAUGACUUCACCAAUAACAUGAAUGAGGUUUUGAGAAAAGAAAAGGUAAAAACUAUCAAAGACUUUGACAUUGUCUUUGUACCUAUCUUUCAUCAUGAGAAAAACCACUUUUAUCUCAUGUGUUUCGACCUCAAACGCACAAAGACUACAUUGCUUGACAACAUUGCACCACUUGAAAAUGAGGAAAAGGGUGAUCAUGAUCCCUACGAUGGUCGGACACGAAAAACAAAACAAGCUUUUGAAGGUUAUCUUGAACGUAUCUCACAUCCAAAAGCAACAGACAUGAAGGCUACAUCAAUAAAUCGUCUUAAAAUGUCAUGGAGAACUUGUUUUAAUUGUAUUGAUUGUGGGUUUUUCCUUAUGCGCCACAUGGAAACGUACAUGGGUGAAGAUGCAAAAGAUUAUCAUUGUGGUUUCGUAGUAGAGAAUACUGGAUUACAACAGAAACAAAUUGAAGGCUUGCGCCGAAAGUACACAACCAAGAUGUUGGUGCAUAUUUCGUAUGUCUGCCACUGUGCGAAUAGCUAGAUAGAGCGUGUGUUGAAUAUUGUAUAUAAUAGAGUGAAAUCCAGUACGAAACCAAGGCAUUGUGAUGUAACAGUACCUUCGUAGGACUGCUUUGUGGGUUCGUACUGAUGUCCAAGACCAUAGCAGCUUCGUACGAAGGCACCCAUGUGGGUUCGUACGAAACCAGCAUGCCUAUACAUAGGAUGCUUAGGUCUUGUGUUGGACAAGCUUUUGGUCCCUAAGGGGAGAUGCUGUCCAACUGGUUUCAUGAUGCUGUAACUGUCAAGUUAUCAAUAGAAACCAGAUUAUAAGUGACUGUUUGGUGUUGUAUUCUACUUCUACUCCUUUCUUAGUGAUAAUAAAUACACUGAACACGUCGUAUUGGGACCAAAGCUCCGUCAAACUCGCCGGAUCCUGGAAUCUCACAAGAUCUGGUUACACGACGUUAACGAAAAUAAACCAUAUGUUAUUUCCUUGGUGCACAAGUUUCGAGAGUUACCAGCUAAACAAAAACAACAGCUACAACGAGGUGGUUAUAAAAGAAUCUUGUCAAGGCUGCAUAACGAAGUCGAUUAUGUUGAUGUUUUUUUCAUUUUGGACUUGAUGUAUAGGAACUUGAUGUAUAGGAACUUGAUGUUUUUUU